CACAAUAGCGAUACCUUUUAGUGCCCCCUCACAGUAAUAAUGCCCCUUUAGUGCACCCCACACAAUAGUUAUAGUCCUUAAUGCCAACAGACAUUAAUGGCCCCCUUAGUUCCCCCCUCACAGUAGUGAUACCCCUUAGUGCCCAGACAGUAAAGAUGCCCCUUUAGUGCCCCCUAACAAUAAUGAUAACUUUUAGUGCCCCCAGACAGUAUGCCCCUCUAGUGCCCCCUCACAAUAGUGAUAGUUCUUAGUGCCCCCGACAGUAAUGAUGCCCCUUAGUGCCACCUCACAUUAGUGAAGCCCCCUUAGUGCCCCCCACACAUAAUAUAAAGAUGUCUCCUAAUGCCUCUCCCUCAACAUAGUAUGAUCCCCUUCCCCCCAGAGCUUCCAAAAUGAACGUUCAUGUAAUCCGCAACGAGCAAAGCAGAUCACUUGGUGCAGGUGGGCUGCGGUCUGUGCUGUCAGCGUUGGCAUCACUGCAGGGCUGGCAGGGUGUGCCCCUCUUAUACUUGGCAGCAGUAACCGGUACAAAGGUCUUAAAGGGGUUGUGCAAGAAUGGGGGGGGGGUCAAACCAGAUGUUGACAGCGAGGGAGCCAGUGGAGCAUCACGGCCAGGGAGGAGAAGAAACGGGGAGCCAGUGCCGGGAAACAGAUUUGAAGCAGUGGAAGAGACAAGUGAAUAUUCAUGACAUUUGGAUUUUUAGAGGAAAAAGAUCGGCUUCUCUUCUUUCUUCUUCUUUGAUGACCUGGG